rnacentral:lncRNA from 1 species
AUGAGUCAUUAUGAAAACUGUCUUGUUUAUUUGUUUAUCUGUUUCAGUUCUCCAGUGUUCGGUUCAAGAUCUGAGGAGAUGGCAGUCCUCAGAACCUUCUCUGAAGCUCUGGUGCGAAACCUUUUUCCUGAGUACCUUUGGGAAGCAAAACUCUACCGGUGUGUCCUAAUUGAGAUUGUUGCUACAAAAGCUCUUGAUGUGCUUGUGACAUGCCUCUGUAAUCCAGACAACCUGAAUCAGAUGGUAGUUUUGCAGCUGGAUAGAGUAACCUCUAAAAGCUCAACAGGAGACCUGCUAAACUCAGAUAGGGAAGGCAGACCAUCUUCUGUGGGAAGUGAAGAAGCAGAAGUAUUGACAGAUGAAGCAGAGGAUGCUCGGUCUGUAGACAGAAAAGAAAAGAAGAAGGGCAAUAGGAUCAAAGAACGAUUUUCUAAAUUUGUUGAUAAGGUCAAGCCAAAGAAAGCCAAAAAGAAAAAACAUAAGAAGGAGCAAGAGCUUUUACAGAGGGCUUUAUCGUCACGAAGAUCUGCUGUUAUUGAAGAUGAUGGUGCAAGCAGCAGAGAGGGCUCCAUUAAAAGCUGCAUGGACUCGGAUUAUGACAGUGAAACGGAUGUUUACCUAACAACAAAUGUCCAAGAGGAUAUGAUGGAGUUUAAGCUUUCCUAUGAGAUGUGGCGGGUGGGGAAGUGGGCAGUCCGUGUUACAAAUGUUCAGAAGGAAAAUGAAGAGCUGUGUUUCACGGUUCACCUGGAGGAGAGAAAUAACCCUGAGAAUCUCAACUGGGAUGUGAAAAGGACCCAAUCAGAUAUACUUCAUUUCCACAGCCUCUGGCAAGUGAGAGAGGAAAUGGAUAGUUCAACUUUACCCUCUGUAUCUGCAAUAGUAGAGAAAACAAAGAAGGAUCUUGAUGGUGCAUAUGCAGAAGAAGUUAGAUCAGCCUUGGAGCACUUUUUGCAAGAGCUGGUUUCUGAUGCACAACUUGGUCACACUCAGCCUGUAUUCCAGUUCUUGUGUCCCAUUGCACAGCUGUUGAGUAAUAAGGAACAUAAAGGAGGUGUCUGGAGUUUUCUGAAUGGACUUGCAAGCUUUCUUACUCCUGGCCAAGAUGAGGAUGAGUCCCAUAACCCCAGAGGAGAAGAUAAGCUUGAUGAAGCAGGAGCCUCAGGACAUCACAGUGGACCAAUAGCACAGCCAGCCUGCAUCGACACAGAUGAAGAGCCAAAGGAGGGCAUUGUAGAAGGGCCAAUAGCUACAAACGUUAGGUUUUGUAACCCUCGUGAAGAGACUGACACCUUCAGAAAUAGAGAACCGGAUAUGGAAGAUCAGACCUCUGAUGAACAGGAUGGGGUUUCAGAUGGACAGGAGAGUCUUGCUGAAAGUUUCGAUGUCUUUGUUAAUAGGUCAAAAUUAGUUAGUCCUUCAGGACACUCCAAUGAUAUCUCAAGCUCAGUCAUGAACCAUACUGAAGGCGUAGAGUCUGACUCAGAUGACGGCUUUAGAAGUAUUCAGUCUGGGGAGAAAACAAACAAAAAAGAAAAGUUAACUCACAAAAAGUCAAAUGGAUCACAAAAGUUCAAAGUAAAAGAGAAAACUGGACAGCUCAAGGAAGAGAUGGCAAAUCAGCCACAGGCUCAGAAAAAGGAGCCUCAGACCAACUGGGAGCAAGUCGAGGCUACAAAAGCCAUAUUUGAGUUACUUAAGGAAAUAACUGGUAACUCAGUCCUCAUUAACAUUGUUGAUGCCAUUCUAAAAGCAGUCCAGCCUUUGUUAAAAAAGAAAAUAAACAACUUUUUAAAAAGGAUGCAUCCCACCGAAGCUCAUAUUGCAUCCUAUAUUGACAAUUUCCAGGAGAAUGUAUGGCCAGAGGGAAAUGUGCCCAUCCAGCCGCCACGUGACAGUGAGGAGAAACACGCGACCAAGGAGAAGGCUUUGCAGCUUAUAAAUUCAAAAUAUUCAAACGCUUUAAUCCUCAAGAAGACUGAUGUUGAAACUUUGUUCAAGAUCUUCCAGGACACAGAGGAGAACAAGAAACUGGUUUAUAUGCUGCUGUCAUACGUUCUAGGGGAGUUCCUUCCUGGAGAGCCUGCCUUCGGUUCAAUAGCUAAUCUAACAGUUAAGGAUUUUGUUUCCUAAUAGAAAGAAGAUAUUUUUUAUGUUUUUUAAUGUUCAUGCUUUGAGAAGCAUGAACGCUGAUAUUUUUACUUAACAAAAAUGCUAACCUCAGCAUUUUAACAAAUACACUGUAAUUAUGUUUCACUUCAACAAUGUUACAAUAUCUUGGGUGUAAAUUUUAAACUCAUAUUUUUUUUUAAAUAUCACUAUAUGUAAGUUUUUGUUUUGUACCUUAAAAUUGUACACUGUGAAGAACACGCAAUUUUAAUAAACAGCACAGGUUACUCAGGAAAAAAAGAUAAAGUCAUUGUGAUACUGAUCAAAAUUUUACAACAAGACUUAAUCCACACCAGGUCGAUCUGUGAGGAAUGUAUUCGAAUAAUAAUAAUGACAAUAAAUAUAUUUUACUAUUAAUUUCGAGUCAUUUAAUUUCUUGCACCUUAGCAAUUCGUAAUAUAAGCAAAAAUACUAUUGAGUUAACACUGUUCA